GAUAAACGCUGGCGGCGUGCCUAAUACAUGCAAGUCGAGCGAACGGACGAGAAGCUUGCUUCUCUGAUGUUAGCGGCGGACGGGUGAGUAACACGUGGAUAACCUACCUAUAAGACUGGGAUAACUUCGGGAAACCGGAGCUAAUACCGGAUAAUAUUUUGAACCGCAUGGUUCAAAAGUGAAAGACGGUCUUGCUGUCACUUAUAGAUGGAUCCGCGCUGCAUUAGCUAGUUGGUAAGGUAACGGCUUACCAAGGCAACGAUGCAUAGCCGACCUGAGAGGGUGAUCGGCCACACUGGAACUGAGACACGGUCCAGACUCCUACGGGAGGCAGCAGUAGGGAAUCUUCCGCAAUGGGCGAAAGCCUGACGGAGCAACGCCGCGUGAGUGAUGAAGGUCUUCGGAUCGUAAAACUCUGUUAUUAGGGAAGAACAUAUGUGUAAGUAACUGUGCACAUCUUGACGGUACCUAAUCAGAAAGCCACGGCUAACUACGUGCCAGCAGCCGCGGUAAUACGUAGGUGGCAAGCGUUAUCCGGAAUUUAUGGGCGUNAAGCGCGCGUANGCGGUUUUUUUAGUCUGAAGUUAAGGCUGUGGCUUAACCAUAGUACGCUUUGGAAACUGUUUAACUUGAGUGCAAGAGGGGAGAGUGGAAUUCCAUGUGUAGCGGUGAAAUGCGUAGAUAUAUGGAGGAACACCGGUGGCGAAAGCGGCUCUCUGGCUUGUAACUGACGCUGAGGCUCGAAAGCGUGGGGAGCAAACAGGAUUAGAUACCCUGGUAGUCCACGCCGCAAACGAUGGGUGCUAGGUGUUAGACCCUUUCCGGGGUUUAGUGCCGUAGCUAACGCAUUAAGCACUCCGCCUGGGGAGUACGACCGCAAGGUUGAAACUCAAAGGAAUUGACGGGGGCCCGCACAAGCGGUGGAGCAUGUGGUUUAAUUCGAAGCAACGCGAAGAACCUUACCAGGUCUUGACAUCCCUCUGACCGCUCUAGAGAUAGAGCUUUCCUUCGGGACAGAGGUGACAGGUGGUGCAUGGUUGUCGUCAGCUCGUGUCGUGAGAUGUUGGGUUAAGUCCCGCAACGAGCGCAACCCCUAUUGUUAGUUGCCAUCAUUCAGUUGGGCACUCUAGCGAGACUGCCGGUAAUAAACCGGAGGAAGGUGGGGAUGACGUCAAAUCAUCAUGCCCCUUAUGACCUGGGCUACACACGUGCUACAAUGGCUGGUACAACGAGUCGCAAGCCGGUGACGGCAAGCUAAUCUCUUAAAGCCAGUCUCAGUUCGGAUUGUAGGCUGCAACUCGCCUACAUGAAGUCGGAAUCGCUAGUAAUCGCGGAUCAGCACGCCGCGGUGAAUACGUUCCCGGGCCU
rnacentral:rRNA from 1 species